UGAGGAAUAUUGGUCAAUGGGCGCAAGCCUGAACCAGCCAUGCCGCGUGCAGGAAGAAUGCCCUAUGGGUUGUAAACUGCUUUUAUUUGGGAAUAAACCUCUUUACGUGUAGAGAGCUGAAGGUACCAAAUGAAUAAGCACCGGCUAACUCCGUGCCAGCAGCCGCGGUAAUACGGAGGGUGCAAGCGUUAUCCGGAAUCAUUGGGUUUAAAGGGUCCGCAGGCGGUCUGAUAAGUCAGUGGUGAAAGCCUAUUGCUCAACAAUAGAACUGCCAUUGAUACUGUUAGACUUGAAUUAGGUCGGAGUGGGCGGAAUAUGACAUGUAGCGGUGAAAUGCUUAGAUAUGUCAUAGAACACCGAUAGCGAAGGCAGCUCACUAGCCCUA
rnacentral:rRNA from 1 species